rnacentral:snRNA from 1 species
AUCGCUUCUCGGCCUUUUGGCUAAGCUCAAGUGUAGUAUCUGUUCUUAUCAGUUAAUUUCAAAAUCUAAGAGUGAAUGUCCAGAAUAUAUGAAGCAUCCUACGAAGUGACACAAAAAGGACGACUAAAUCAAUUUUUAAAAAGUUUCUCUUUAAAAGGUUAUUCACAAGAGAAAAUGACCAGAUGGCCAGUAGACAUAUGACAGGGCUGUCAAUCUCAU